rnacentral:rRNA from 1 species
GGACCCGCACAAGUAGUGGAGCAUGUGGUUUAAUUCGAAGAUACGCGCAGAACCUUACCAACACUUGACAUGUUUGUCGCGACUUUAAGAGAUUAAAGUCUUCGGUUCGGCCGGACAAAACACAGGUGCUGCAUGGCUGUCGUCAGCUCGUGUCGUGAGAUGUUGGGUUAAGUCCCGCAACGAGCGCAACCCUCACUUUUAGUUGCCAUCAUUUAGUUGGGCACUCUGAAAGAACUGCCAGUGAUAAGCUGGAGGAAGGUGGGGAUGACGUCAAGUCCUCAUGGCCCUUACGUGUUGGGCUACACACGUGCUACAAUGGCAUUUACAAUAGGAAGCAAGAUGGCGACAUCAAGCAAAUCCUUAAAAGAUACCUCAGUUCGGAUUGCACUCUGCAACUCGAGUGCAUGAAGCUGGAAUU